rnacentral:rRNA from 1 species
UACGUAGGGGGCAAGCGUUGUCCGGAAUCAUUGGGCGUAAAGCGCGCGUAGGCGGCUCGGUAAGUCUGCUGUGAAAGUCCAGGGCUCAACCCUGGGAUGCCGGUGGAUACUGUCGAGCUCGAGUCCGGAAGAGGCGAGUGGAAUUCCUGGUGUAGCGGUGAAAUGCGCAGAUAUCAGGAGGAACACCAAUGGCGAAGGCAGCUCGCUGGGACGUGACUGACGCUGAGACGCGAAAGCGUGGGGAGCAAACAGG